GAUACGAGGCAGUGCCGAGCAGGGCGAGCGGGCAAAGGACCGCGAAGCUCUCGUGAUCAAGGCAAGGCGCUGUAAAUC
rfam:Methylobacterium tarhaniae strain DSM 25844 contig_13, whole genome shotgun sequence.